rfam:Triticum aestivum genome assembly, contig: Triticum_aestivum_CS42_TGACv1_scaffold_221001_3B
UUUCUACUUUCUUUGUCCGAAAAUACUUGUCAUCAAAAUGGAUAAAAAGAGAUGUAUCUAAAACUAAAAUACUUCUAGAUACAUUUCCUUUUAUCCAUUUUGAUGACAAGUAUUUCCGGACGGAGGGAGUAUUUG